rnacentral:rRNA from 1 species
GAUGAACGCUAGCGGAAGGCAUAAUACAUGCAAGUCGAACGGAUGUAGCAAUACAUUAGUGGCGCACGGGUGCGUAACGCGUAUGCAACCUACCUUCAUCAGGGGGAUAACUACCCGAAAGGGUGGCUAACACCGCAUAAUACUACUGAAUGGCAUCAUUUGGUAUUUAAAUCUGAGGAGGAUGAAGAUGGGCAUGCGUCUGAUUAGCUAGUUGGUGUGGUAACGGCGCACCAAGGCGACGAUCAGUAGGGGAACUGAGAGGUUGGUCCCCCCCAAUGGUCCUGAGAGACGGGCCAGACUCCUACGGGAGGCAGCAGUAGGGAAUAUUGGUCAAUGGUGGGAACACUGAACCAGCCAUUCCGCGUGCAGGAAGAAGGGUCUCUGACUUGUAAACUGCUUUAGCAAGGGAAGAAAAAGCUCAUGCGUGAGAAAUUGACGGUACCUUGAGAAUAAGCACCGGCUAACUACGUGCCAGCAGCCGCCGUAAUAC